rnacentral:rRNA from 1 species
UGCGAAGGGGGCUAGCGUUGUUCGGAAUCACUGGGCGUAAAGCGCACGUAGGCGGAUCCUUAAGUCAGGGGUGAAAUCCCGAGGCUCAACCUCGGAACUGCCUUUGAUACUGGGGAUCUCGAGUCCGGGAGAGGUGAGUGGAAUUGCGAGUGUAGAGGUGAAAUUCGUAGAUAUUCGCAAGAACACCAGUGGCGAAGGCGGCUCACUGGCCCGGUACUGACGCUGAGGUGCGAAAGCGUGGGGAGCAAACAGG